rnacentral:rRNA from 1 species
GUCAAUGGCCAUACCACCCUGAACACGCCUGAUCUUGUCUGAUCUUGGAAGGUAAGCAGGGUCAGGACUGGUGAGUACUUGGGUGGGAGACCAUGUAGGAAUACCGAGUGCUGUACGCU